GGGGGCUAGCGUUGCUCGGAAUCACUGGGCGUAAAGGGUGCGUAGGCGGGUCUUUAAGUCAGGGGUGAAAUCCUGGAGCUCAACUCCAGAACUGCCCUUGAUACUGAGGAUCUUGAGUUCGGGAGAGGUGAGUGGAACUGCGAGUGUAGAGGUGAAAUUCGUAGAUAUUCGCAAGAACACCAGUGGCGAAGGCGGCUCACUGGCCCGAUACUGACGCUGAGGCACGAAAGCGUGGGGAGCAAACAGG
rnacentral:rRNA from 1 species